UCAUUCAGAAACCAAGAAUCAGCUCCAGCAAGAGAAACAGAAAAAUGAAAAGGCUGAAAGUGACAUGAAGACCCUGAACAGCCGUCUGGAAGAGCUCCGAGAUGAGAAGAAGAAGUGGACGGAGACUGAGAGAAAACUGAAGAAAUUCAUCCUGAACAUGAUGCAGGAGCUGGAUGAAGGAGACUCUCAGCGUUGGCAGCAGAGACAUGAAAAUACAACUGUUGGGAAUCAACUGGAAGAG